rnacentral:rRNA from 1 species
UGGGAAUAUUGCACAAUGGGCGCAAGCCUGAUGCAGCCAUGCCGCGUGUGUGAAGAAGGCCUUCGGGUUGUAAAGCACUUUCAGCGAGGAGGAAGGUGGUGGACUUAAUACGUUCAUCAAUUGACGUUACUCGCAGAAGAAGCACCGGCUAACUCCGUGCCAGCAGCCGCGGUAAUACGGAGGGUGCAAGCGUUAAUCGGAAUUACUGGGCGUAAAGCGCACGCAGGCGGUUUGUUAAGUCAGAUGUGAAAUCCCCGGGCUCAACCUGGGAACUGCAUUUGAAACUGGCAAGCUAGAGUCUCGUAGAGGGGGGUAGAAUUCCAGGUGUAGCGGUGAAAUGCGUAGAGAUCUGGAGGAAUACCGGUGGCGAAGGCGGCCCCCCUGGANGAAGACUGACGCUCAGGUGCGAAAGCGUGGGGAGCAAACAGAUUAGAUACCCUGGUAGUCCACGCUGUAAACGAUGUCGAUUUUGGAGGUUGUG